CCUACGGGAGGCAGCAGUGGGGAAUUUUGGACAAUGGACGCAAGUCUGAUCCAGCAAUGCCGCGUGCAGGACGAAGGCCUUCGGGUUGUAAACUGCUUUUGUACGGAAUGAAACGGUCUGCUUUAAUACAGUGGACUAAUGACGGUACCGUAAGAAUAAGCACCGGCUAACUACGUGCCAGCAGCCGCGGUAAUACGUAGGGUGCGAGCGUUAAUCGGAAUUACUGGGCGUAAAGCGUGCGCAGGCGGUUAUAUAAGUCAGAUGUGAAAUCCCCGGGCUCAACCUGGGACCUGCAUUUGAGACUGUAUAGCUAGAGUACGGUAGAGGGGGAUGGAAUUCCGCGUGUAGCAGUGAAAUGCGUAGAUAUGCGGAGGAACACCGAUGGCGAAGGCAAUCCCCUGGACCUGUACUGACGCUCAUGCACGAAAGCGUGGGGAGCAAACAGGAUUAGAUACCCUGGUAGUCCACGCCCUAAACGAUGUCAACUGGUUGUUGGGUCUUCACUGACUCAGUAACGAAGCUAACGCGUGAAGUUGACCGCCUGGGGAAGUACGGCCGCAAGGUUGAAACUUCAAAAUUGAGUUAGAGGCGNGNGAGNGCGACGACGACGACGAGGAGGAGG
rnacentral:rRNA from 1 species